rnacentral:rRNA from 1 species
AUUCCGGUUGAUCCUGCCGGAGGCCAUUGCUAUUGGAGUCCGAUUUAGCCAUGCUAGUCGUACGAGUUCAUACUCGUGGCGAAUAGCUCAGUAACACGUGGCCAAUCUCCCCUUCAGCGGCGGACACCCUCGGGAAACUGAGGCUAAUCCGCCAUACACCUCUCAGACCGGACUGUCGAGAGGUCAAAACGCUUUCCAGCGCUGAAGGAUGAGGCUGCGGCCGAUUAGGUAGACGGUGGGGUAACGGCCCACCGUGCCCAUAAUCGGUACGGGUCGUGAGAGCGAGAACCCGGAGACGGAAUCUGAGACAAGAUUCCGGGCCCUACGGGGCGCAGCAGGCGCGAAACCUUUACACUGCACGCCAGUGCGAUAAGGGGACUCCAAGUGCGAGGGCAUAUCGUCCUCGCUAUCCUGUACUGUAGGGUAGUACAGUAUCAAGAGCUGGGCAAGACCGGUGCCAGCCGCCGCGGUAAUACCGGCAGCUCAAGUGAUGGCCACUCUUAUUGGGCCUAAAGCGUCCGUAGCU